GGGGGUUGCUGGUGCUCUCCUCGCGCGCUAGCUGUCCGCCUCGCCUCGCGCUCACCUCGCCUGGUUUCCAACCCCCGCCAUGGAAGAGGCUGAGACGGACGCCACGGAAAACUGUCGCGCCUCCGAGGCCAAGCGAGCCUCUGCCAUGCCGCCGCCGCCGCCUCCCAUCUCUCCGCCCGCCCUUACUCCGGCGCCCGCGGCCGGUGAGGAGGGCCCGGCGUCCCUGCCCGAGGCGGGCGCUCCCGGCUGCUCCCGCUCUCGGCCCCCGGAGCUGGAGCCCGAGCGCAGCCUGGGCCGUUUGAGGGGCCGCUUCGAGGACUACGACGAGGAGUUGGAGGAGGAUGAGGAGAUGGAGGAGGAAGAGGAGGAGGAGGAAGACAUGAGCCACUUCUCGCUGCGGCUGGAGUCUGGGCGGCCGGACUCCGAGGACGAGGAGGAGCGCCUGCUGAACCUUGCUGAACUGACCCCGUACAUCAUGUGUUCCAUUUGCAAGGGGUACUUAAUAGACGCAACUACCAUUACAGAGUGUCUUCAUACCUUUUGUAAAAGCUGCAUUGUAAGACAUUUUUACUACGGCAACAGAUGCCCAAAGUGCAACAUAGUUGUCCACCAGACCCAGCCUCUUUAUAAUAUAAGGUUGGACCGACAGUUACAAGACAUAGUGUACAAAUUAGUGAUCAAUCUAGAGGAAAGAGAAAAAAAGCAAAUGCAUGAUUUCUAUAAAGAAAGAGGUCUAGAAGUACCCAAACCUGCUUCUUUGUUUCUGUCUCAAUUAGCUGUUCCACAACCAGUCCCUUCAAACAAAGGAAAAACCAAGAAAGUCCUAGAGUCAGUGUUUCGUAUUCCACCUGAACUUGAUAUGUCUUUAUUACUUGAGUUCAUUGGUGCUAAUGAAGAUACAGGACACUUUAAGGUUUUUGAAAUAGAUCUUAUAUAGCCCCAUGCUGGCCUUGAAUUUGUUAUGCAGCCAAAGAUGACUUUGAACUUGAUCAUCCUGCCUAUACUUUCCAAGUGCUAGGAUUACAAGCAUGUACUACCAGUCCCAACUUUAAUGUAAUUUUAAAAAAUUCUAAGAGUCAGGUUUGGUAAUUAUAAGCUUGUUUUCCUACCUCUCUGGAGGCUGCAGCAAGAGGAUCCAAAAUUUGAAGCCAGCCUAGGCUACUCUGUAAGACCAGUCUAAAAAUCCAAAGUGUCUUGUAUAGUUGGUGCUUAGAGUUUAACAUGAAUUUAAAUUUUUAUAUUUAACAUUUUUGACUAAGUUAACCUGCCUUAACUUGUCACUUCAAGCAUUCACUGAGAUUUGAGGUAAGAAUAAAACUACUUUGUAUCAUACUUUGUCAGUUGUUGAGAUGUAUACCAAGCUAGAGACACCUAGAAAAGUAGAUCUCUUAUGUAUUUGUGAUAAAGACUGUUCAUUUUAUUAAGAAAUGGCAGAGUUGUUUUGUUUGUGACACCUAUGUACUAGAGUUCUAAGGGAAAACCCAUGGCUGUGUGAGUCCCAACAGGCAAGGCUCAGUUACCCAUCCUGUUGUGACAGUUGAGGCGAGUUUGGACUAGGGAUAGAGUUCCAGUUGGUGUGGCUCUUACUUGCCACACUCCAUAACCAGAGUGGUUCCUAUGCCUGUAAUCCCAGCACUUGUGAGGUACAUGUCAAAUUCAGGGCAACUCUGGAUAAUAUUGUCUGGGGAAAAAAAGUAUUGAUGAAAAGCAUUAAAAGGUUUAAUCAGUUGCCACAUUAGGAAAAGAACAGAUAAAGAGGUUCCGUGACUCAUUUGUCUUCAAGUCACUGGCUUAGCUUUUUGUGGUGGUUGUUCUUUUGUGUUUUUGAGACAAGUUCUCAUUCUGUAGCCCAGGCUAACCUGGAACUCACGUAGCCCAGUCUGGCCUUGAAUUCAUGGCACUCUGCUUGCCUUAAUGCCAGGAAUUUAUGUGUGAAUCACCAUGCCUGGCAACUUUAGGUUUAAACAGAACUGGGGCAAGAGGCAAGUAUUUAACAAGUUUUAUUCAGACUGUGGUCUGAUGGGUCAUUACCUUAGUUCCGACUUGUGAAGCUGGUUCAAGAGUUUUUAUUGUUUGAGGGGACAGUUUGGUUCUCUUGAGAUGAUUGUUCUGGCUAAAGAUGUUCUCAUAAUGGGGAGAUCUGUCUGUGAGGUGCUGCUGUACCUAGAAUCUAAGGUGACUCAUUUUAGUGGAGAUCUUCAGAUGCCUUUGGGGAAUCUGGAACAGGAUAUUAUAAAAAAUGGCAGCAUGGGGCAGGAGAGAUGGCUCAGCAAUUAAAGAGCCUACACUGCUCUUGCAGAGGAGCUAAUUUUGGUUCCCAACACACUCAUUGAGUGGCUCACAACUACCUGUAAUGCUAGCUACCUGUGUCUAGAUUUCUUCUUAUUUUAAAUUUUUGAAAGAAAUUCCACUCUUCCUUCCUUCCUUCCUUCCUUCCUUCCUUCCUUCCUUCCUUUCUUUCCUUUUUUUUUUUUUGAAAUAGGCCUAUAGCUUAGGUUGUCCUUAGCUCAUGGCAGUUUUCCUGCCUCAGCUUUUAGAGUACUGGGAUUAUAGAUGUGAGCCACCAUACUUGACUUCAAAAAAACAAAAACAAAAACCCUUGUUUUCUCAAGUAUAUGUAUAUGUUGUCCAGGCAGUCUUAGCUCUUAGACGCAAUUAAACCCAAACUGCAGGCAUGUACUGCCUUGCUCUUGUGUCGUCUUAUCCCAAGUAGGUGAAACUACAAGCAGGCGCUGCAAUGCCCGGAUUUUCUUGUUUUGUCGUGUGUGUGUGUGUGUGUGUGUGUGUACUUAUUUGUAACAGGAUGCCAACCAUAGCUCAGGCUGAUCUUGAACUUAAAUCCUCUUGCUUCCGCUUCUUAAGUUUUAGGUUUUCAGACAUGUAGCAUUGAACUGGACUUCCUUGUUUUUCAUGAACUUUUAAAGUAAAUCAACAAGCCUUUCUAUUAAAAAUGUUGUUGGCAUAUUUAAAAGAUUUGCAGAAUUUCUAUUUUUUUUUUUUUGAUUAUAAAUUGACAAGUUUAUAGCAGUUUUUUUUAAGAGCCUACUGAAUUAUCUUGGCUUAAAAAUUUGCGUUAAAGUUUGUAAUUUUAUGUAUGUGUAUACUUAAAUAAUCUAAAAAGUCUUGUCUGUUUUUGUAGCCAUUAGAAAAGAAGUUUGUGCGUGUUUCAGGAGAAGCAACUAUUGGGCAUGUAGAGAAAUUUCUUAGAAGAAAAAUGGGUCUUGAUCCAGCUUGUCAGGUAGAUAUCAUCUGCGGUGAUCACUUAUUGGAACGGUACCAAACUCUACG